GCUGGGAGUGGUGGCACAUGCCUGUAAUCCCAGUGGCAAGGAGGCUGAGGCAGGAGGAUUUUAAGUUCACAACAGUGAGGUACUUAGCAACUCAGUGAGACCCUGUCUCUA
rnacentral:sRNA from 1 species